AUAUCUCUGUCGCUUAAUUCUAUCAUGAAGCGGGGAAACCAUUUUUGGGGUGAAUCCUUCACAUCAUUUGACUCUGAGUUUGUGAAGGUAGGGUUACUUUUCAACCCGAAUCCGUCAGCUAACUUCGUAAGCGUUGAAAGGAGAUACU
rnacentral:sRNA from 2 species